rnacentral:tRNA from 1 species
GCGAGUAUAGUUUAGUGGUAAAACUUUAGUCUUCCAAUCUAAUGAUGGGGGUUCGAUUCCCCCUACUCGCU